UCCCUGGCUCUCCGGGCCCCACCGGGUACCGCGGGUUCAGAACCAGAGCCCAGGAUGGCUUAAGAGCAGUGCGGCGGCCGUGUCAGGGCACGCUCCGGAGCCGGCUUGCGUGCUGCGCCUGUUUUCCUCUUUCGGGGCAGCAGGCCAGGAAGGGGCAGAGUUGGGCCUGGCCUCUCCUUGCCCCGCGGGCUGGGAGAGGAAGCCGGGUCACGGGAGGGCCAGAAGCGGGGAGGAAACGGGAAAUUCAGGUGAGAAAACUUCAAUCCUCCCAACUCCAGCCCCCAAACCGUGGUUUCUCCACUGCCUGUUGUAUCUCCAAACCGGAGUCUGAAGGCAGGGAGCCAGGGACCCCAAGACAACCCACCCCCAGGACUGAGCAGUCAGCAGCGUGGAUGCCAGUGAAAAAGCCUGCAUCCAGAGCAGAGAACCAGCAGGAGCGAGAGCUGGCCACCUAAGUCGCAGAGGCUGUCGUGAGGGAACCCUGCUCCCCAUCCCGCCCCAGGCCCAGCCCAAGCCCCAGGCCUCAGGUAAUCGGAUUAAACAGCCGGCCUUGGCUCUCAGCAGAAACGGGCUGGAGCCCGAGCGCAGAGCAGCCCUACCUAGCCUGCUGUGACUCAGGGUAAAGGAGUGGCCCAGCUCUCCUACCAGCAACCCUGGGGGAGGGGAGAAGCCAGAAGCCACAGGCCACGGUCCUCCGGACUUGAAAGCGACCAGGGCCUGGAGAACCUAGGAAUUUCAGGAAUUCCCAGAAGUAGACAAUCUUUGGAACCCUAGAGAAGCCACGUGUGGAGAAAACGGAAAUGAGGGCCCGGGCAAGUCAAGCCUAGAGAAACCAAUGUGCCAAACUUGGCACAAGGAAGGCGCGAGAACCACAGAGCCAUUUGGAUUUUUUUAUUCUCUUUUUAAAUACUGUACAGUGAAAAAUAAAUACGCCUUCUCAUCCACCAGA